rnacentral:rRNA from 1 species
UAGUGGCGGACUGGCGAGUCACGCGUAAGAAAUCUACCUAUCAGAGGGGAACAACAAUGAGACAUCAUUGCUAAUACCGCAUAUGCCAUAAACAUCGCAUGAUGAAAGUGGGAAAGGAGCACUCCGCUAAUAGAUGAUCUUGCGUCUGAUUACUUAGUUGGUGGGGUAAUGGCCUACCAAGACUACGAUCAGUAGCCGGACUGAGAGGUUGAACGGCCCCCAUUGGGACUGACAUACGGCCCACACUCCUACGGGAGGCAGCUUUCUUUAUUAUUGCCCAAUGGAGGAAACUCUGACGCAGUGACGCCGCGUGCAGGAAAAAGGUUUUCGGAUUGUAAACUGCUUUAGACAGGGAAGAGAAAGGACAGUACCUGUAGAAUAAGCUCCGGCUAACUACGUGCCAGCAGCCGCGGUAAUACGUAGGGAGCGAGCGUUAUCCGGAUUUAUUGGGUGUAAAGGGUGCGUAGACGGGAAUACAAGUUAGUUGUGAAAUACCUCGGCUUAACUGAGGAACUGCAACUAAAACUAUAUUUCUUGAGUGCAGGAGAGGUAAGUGGAAUUCCUAGUGUAGCGGUGAAAUGCGUAGAUAUUAGGAGGAACACCAGUGGCGAAGGCGACUUACUGGACUGAAACUGACGUUGAGGCACGAAAGUGUGGGGAGCAAACAGGAUUCGAUACCCUGGUAGUCCACACCGUAAAC